rnacentral:rRNA from 1 species
AUUGAACGCUGGCGGCAGGCUUAACACAUGCAAGUCGAACGAGUGGCGGACGGGUGAGUAAUGUCUGGGAAACUGCCUGAUGGAGGGGGAUAACUAAUGGAAACGGUAGCUAAUACCGCAUACCAUCGGAUGUGCCCAGAUGGGAUUAGCUAGUAGGUGGGGUAACGGCUCACCUAGGCGACGAUCCCUAGCUGGUCUGAGAGGAUGACCAGCCACACUGGAACUGAGACACGGUCCAGACUCCUACGGGAGGCAGCAGUGGGGAAUAUUGCACAAUGGGCGCAAGCCUGAUGCAGCCAUGCCGCGUGUGUGAAGAAGGCCUUCGGGUUGUAAAGUACUUUCAGCGUGGAGGCGUUACCCGCAGAAGAAGCACCGGCUAACUCCGUGCCAGCAGCCGCGGUAAUAC